rnacentral:rRNA from 1 species
UACGGAGGGUGCGAGCGUUGUUCGGAAUCACUGGGCGUAAAGCGCGUGUAGGCGGCCCACUAAGUCUGAUGUGAAAGCCCGGGGCUCACCCCCGGAAGUGCAUUGGAAACUGGUGGACUCGAGUCCCGGAGAGGAGAGUGGAGUUCCUGGUGUAGCGGUGAAAUGCGUAGAUAUCAGGAGGAACACCGGUGGCGAAGGCGGCUCUCUGGACGGUGACUGACGCUGAGACGCGAAAGCGUGGGGAGCGAACGGG